rnacentral:rRNA from 1 species
GACGAACGCUGGCGGCGUGCUUAACACAUGCAAGUCGAACGGAAAGGCCCUGCUUUUGUGGGGUGCUCGAGUGGCGAACGGGUGAGUAACACGUGAGUAACCUGCCCUUGACUUUGGGAUAACUUCACGAAACUGGGGCUAAUACCGGAUAGGAUCUCCUGCUGCAUGGUGGGGGUUGGAAAGUUUCGGCGGUUGGGGAUGGACUCGCUGCUUAUCCGCUUGUUGGGCGGGUAGGGGUUUACCAAGGCUUUGACGGGUAGCCGGCCUGAGAGGGUGACCGGGCACAUGGGGACUGAGGGACGGAGCAGACUGCUACGGGAGGCAGUAGGGGGGAAUAUUGCACAAUGGGCGGAAGCCUGAUGUAGAAACGCCGCGUGCGGGAUGACGGCUUUCGGGUUGUAAACAGAUUUCGAAUGUGACGAAGAGUGAGUGACGGUAAUGGGUAAGGAAGCACCGGCUAACUACGUG